rnacentral:rRNA from 1 species
ACUCCUACGGGAGGCAGCAGUGGGGAAUAUUGCGCAAUGGGGGAAACCCUGACGCAGCGACGCCGCGUGAGCGAUGAAGGCCUUCGGGUUGUAAAGCUCUGUUUUAAGGGACGAACGUUCGUGGUAGUAACUGACCAUGAAGUGACGGUACCUUAAGAGGAAGCCCCGGCUAACUACGUGCCAGCAGCCGCGGUAAU